GGGGCAUUAACUCAGCUGGCCAGAGUGCUUCCUUUGCAAGGAAGAAGUCGUCGGUUCGAAUCCGACAUGCUCCACCA
rnacentral:tRNA from 1 species